UAGCAUAUCAAUAAGCGGAGGAAAAGAAACCAACAGGGAUUGCCCUAGUAACGGCGAGUGAAGCGGCAACAGCUCAAAUUUGAAAUCUGGCCUCGGCCCGAGUUGUAAUUUGCAGAGGAUGCUUCUGGCGCGGUGCCUUCCGAGUUCCCUGGAACGGGACGCCACAGAGGGUGAGAGCCCCGUAUGGUCGGACACCAAGCCUGUGUGAAGCUCCUUCGACGAGUCGAGUAGUUUGGGAAUGCUGCUCUAAAUGGGAGGUAAAUCUCUUCUAAAGCUAAAUACCGGCCAGAGACCGAUAGCGCACAAGUAGAGUGAUCGAAAGAUGAAAAGCACCUUGAAAAGGGGGUUAAAUAGUACGUGAAAUUGUUGAAAGGGAAGCACUUGUGACCAGACUUGGGCCGGGCGGCUCAUCAGGGGUUCUCCCCUGUGCACUCCGCCCGGCACAGGCCAGCAUCGGUUCUCGCGGGGGGAUAAGACCGCCGGGAACGUAGCACCCUCCGGGGUGUGUUAUAGCCCGGCGGACGAUACCCCCGUGGGGACCGAGGUCCGCGCUCYGCAAGGAUGCUGGCGUAAUGGUCACCAGUGACCCGUCUUGAAACACGGACCAAGGAGUCGUCCAUUAGAGCGAGCGUUUGGGUGUAAAACCCGCACGCGUAAUGAAAGUGAACGCAGGUGAGAGCUUCGGCGCAUCAUCGACCGAUCCUGAUGUUCUCGGAAGGAUUUGAGUAAGAGUUUUAACGGACGGACCCGAAAGACAGUGAACUAUGCUUGUAUAGGGUGAAGCCAGAGGAAACUCUGGUGGAGGCUCGCAGCGGUUCUGACGUGCAAAUCGAUCGUCAAAUAUGAGCAUGGGGGCGAAAGACUAAUCGAACUGUCUAGUAGCUGGUUACCGCCGAAGUUCCCCUCUC
rnacentral:rRNA from 1 species